CGCAACGGUAGAGGCCUCGAUCCUCGCCCCAUUAGAACGCGCGGCACCCGACCGGGGGCGGGAGGAGCCAGUGGUGCGACCGGCUACCUCUAGG
rnacentral:ncRNA from 1 species